rnacentral:rRNA from 1 species
GAUGAACGCUGGCGGCGUGCCUAAUACAUGCAAGUCGAGCGAACGGACGAGAAGCUUGCUUCUCUGAUGUUAGCGGCGGACGGGUGAGUAACACGUGGAUAACCUACCUAUAAGACUGGGAUAACUUCGGGAAACCGGAGCUAAUACCGGAUAAUAUUUUGAACCGCAUGGUUCAAAAGUGAAAGACGGUCUUGCUGUCACUUAUAGAUGGAUCCGCGCUGCAUUAGCUAGUUGGUAAGGUAACGGCUUACCAAGGCAACGAUGCAUAGCCGACCUGAGAGGGUGAUCGGCCACACUGAAACUGAGACACGGUCCAGACUCCUACGGGAGGCAGCAGUAGGGAAUCUUCCGCAAUGGGCGAAAGCCUGACGGAGCAACGCCGCGUGAGUGAUGAAGGUCUUCGGAUCGUAAAACUCUGUUAUUAGGGAAGAACAUAUGUGUAAGUAACUGUGCACAUCUUGACGGUACCUAAUCAGAAAGCCACGGCUAACUACGUGCCAGCAGCCGCGGUAAUACGUAGGUGGCAAGCGUUAUCCGGAAUUAUUGGGCGUAAAGCGCGCGUAGGCGGUUUUUUAAGUCUGAUGUGAAAGCCCACGGCUCAACCGUGGAGGGUCAUUGGAAACUGGAAAACUUGAGUGCAGAAGAGGAAAGUGGAAUUCCAUGUGUAGCGGUGAAAUGCGCAGAGAUAUGGAGGAACACCAGUGGCGAAGGCGACUUUCUGGUCUGUAACUGACGCUGAUGUGCGAAAGCGUGGGGAUCAAACAGGAUUAGAUACCCUGGUAGUCCACGCCGUAAACGAUGAGUGCUAAGUGUUAGGGGGUUUCCGCCCCUUAGUGCUGCAGCUAACGCAUUAAGCACUCCGCCUGGGGAGUACGACCGCAAGGUUGAAACUCAAAGGAAUUGACGGGGACCCGCACAAGCGGUGGAGCAUGUGGUUUAAUUCGAAGCAACGCGAAGAACCUUACCAAAUCUUGACAUCCUUUGACAACUCUAGAGAUAGAGCCUUCCCCUUCGGGGGACAAAGUGACAGGUGGUGCAUGGUUGUCGUCAGCUCGUGUCGUGAGAUGUUGGGUUAAGUCCCGCAACGAGCGCAACCCUUAAGCUUAGUUGCCAUCAUUAAGUUGGGCACUCUAAGUUGACUGCCGGUGACAAACCGGAGGAAGGUGGGGAUGACGUCAAAUCAUCAUGCCCCUUAUGAUUUGGGCUACACACGUGCUACAAUGGACAAUACAAAGGGCAGCGAAACCGCGAGGUCAAGCAAAUCCCAUAAAGUUGUUCUCAGUUCGGAUUGUAGUCUGCAACUCGACUACAUGGAGCUGGAAUCGCUAGUAAUCGUAGAUCAGCAUGCUACGGUGAAUACGUUCCCGGGUCU